UUUCGCUUUGUUCGCACAUAUUCUAAAAUUGGAACUAUACAGAGAUGAUAUGCAUGGCCCCUGCGCAAUGAUUGUAAAGUUUUCCAUAUUUUU
rnacentral:snRNA from 1 species